GGCCGAAAGGCGUAGUCGAUGGGAAACGGGUUAAUAUUCCCGUACUUGGUGUUACUGCGAAGGGGGGACGGAGAAGGCUAUGUUGGCCGGGCGACGGUUGUCCCGGUUUAAGCGUGUAGGUGUGUGUUCCAGGUAAAUCCGGUUCACUUUAACACUGAGGCGUGACGACGAGGCACUACGGUGCUGAAGCAACAAAUGCCCUGCUUCCAGGAAAAGCCUCUAAGCAUCAGGUAACAUCAAAUCGUACCCCAAACCGACACAGGUGGUCAGGUAGAGAAUACCAAGGCGCUUGAGAGAACUCGGGUGAAGGAACUAGGCAAAAUGGUGCCGUAACUUCGGGAGAAGGCACGCUGACACGUAGGUGAAGUGAUUUACUCAUGGAGCUGAAGUCAGUCGAAGAUACCAGCUGGCUGCAACUGUUUAUUAAAAACACAGCACUGUGCAAACACGAAAGUGGACGUAUACGGUGUGACGCCUGCCCGGUGCCGGAAGGUUAAUUGAUGGGGUCAGCGCAAGCGAAGCUCCUGAUCGAAGCCCCGGUAAACGGCGGCCGUAACUAUAACGGUCCUAAGGUAGCGAAAUUCCUUGUCGGGUAAGUUCCGACCUGCACGAAUGGCGUAAUGAUGGCCAGGCUGUCUCCACCCGAGACUCAGUGAAAUUGAACUCGCUGUGAAGAUGCAGUGUACCCGCGGCAAGACGGAAAGACCCCGUGAACCUUUACUAUAGCUUGACACUGAACAUUGAGCCUUGAUGUGUAGGAUAGGUGGGAGGCUUUGAAGUGUGGACGCCAGUCUGCAUGGAGCCGACCUUGAAAUACCACCCUUUAAUGUUUGAUGUUCUAACGUGGACCCGUAAUCCGGGUUGCGGACAGUGUCUGGUGGGUAGUUUGACUGGGGCGGUCUCCUCCUAAAGAGUAACGGAGGAGCACGAAGGUUGGCUAAUCCUGGUCGGACAUCAGGAGGUUAGUGCAAUGGCAUAAGCCAGCUUGACUGCGAGCGUGACGGCGCGAGCAGGUGCGAAAGCAGGUCAUAGUGAUCCGGUGGUUCUGAAUGGAAGGGCCAUCGCUCAACGGAUAAAAGGUACUCCGGGGAUAACAGGCUGAUACCGCCCAAGAGUUCAUAUCGACGGCGGUGUUUGGCACCUCGAUGUCGGCUCAUCACAUCCUGGGGCUGAAGUAGGUCCCAAGGGUAUGGCUGUUCGCCAUUUAAAGUGGUACGCGAGCUGGGUUUAGAACGUCGUGAGACAGUUCGGUCCCUAUCUGCCGUGGGCGCUGGAGAACUGAGGGGGGCUGCUCCUAGUACGAGAGGACCGGAGUGGACGCAUCACUGGUGUUCGGGUUGUCAUGCCAAUGGCACUGCCCGGUAGCUAAAUGCGGAAGAGAUAAGUGCUGAAAGCAUCUAAGCACGAAACUUGCCCCGA
rnacentral:rRNA from 1 species